GUGUGCACGUAGCAAAAGAGAUCAAAGAUAACAAAGCCAAAAAAUCUAAAGUAGACUUCAAGCAUGAAAGAGAAAAACGUUCUCUUUCUAAUCUAGAAUGAAGAAUGGACUUGAGUAGCCGGAGCAUGGGGUCAUUGGAAGAAUGAAAUAAGAAAGAUCACAGAGCUCCUGGAAGAGGUCUAAUUUAUGGACUGACUGAGAGAACUCUGAAAACCGGGCAGCCGACCGCCAGCUGUGGCUCCAUGGAUUCAAGUGUUAAGGUGUUUGAAUGCUGCCAUGUAUGUGACACAGAAGAAGCAUCAAGUGAGUCUUCAAGGAUAUGUUGGGCCUCGUGCUUUCUAGCGAUUGGAAUACUGCUCUGUACUUGAUCCGGGCACCACAGAAUUUGAUGAACAAUAAUAUACUAAUUUGGGGACUUUCUUCUCAGUCAAACCAUGGAUGGCCUUGGAUUUUAUUCCAAGCAUUUUUUCUGUAUCUUAUUCUAGGAAGUUUUAGAUUAGCUAAAAAUAUGUGUAAACAACUUUGAAGAUUUUGUUUUCUGUAAUUAGUGUAAUUUUUUGCACUCUCUGUUCCCCUCCUUGAAGAUAAAAAGUUUGUUGAGAUCUGUGAGUUGUUAGGAGAUAAUUGUGCCUUUAACUUUUUUUUGUAUCAUUUUAAAGAGAAGUUUCAAACCAAAAAAUGAACUAUAAUAACAACGUUAAGUAGAAGAUUUCUUGCAAGUUGAUUUAGUGA